rnacentral:misc_RNA from 1 species
AAGUCGUAACAAGGUAACCGUAGGUGAACCUGCGGUUGGAUCAUUACGAAAUACAAAAUUCUGUAGGGUAAAAAAGGUAGUGAGUGGCCAACUACCUUUUCCUCAGAACUCACACCCUUGUGAACGUUUAACGUAUUUUGGCGCAACCCCCGCCAACGUUUUCUUAGAAAAUGUGGCGCGGAAAUUGUAAAGAGAAAAUUUUUCACUUUGCAAUUUUUGGUUCGCCAGCUUGACACACACCUUUAUACUUUAUAUCCACUGAAACCACAAAGAGAAACAAUGAGAAACAACUUUAGACAACGGAUCUCUUGGCUCUC